GUGCAUUCAUCGUUAGCACAAAACAAAAGUUAUUUGUAUCCAAAAUCAAACAAUUAAUUGUUGUCACGUUCAGUGGCUAUAUGGCUCCAGAGUACGUGAAGCAUGGACUUGUGUUAGUGAAAGCAGAUGUCUUUAGCUUUUGGUGUGCUAGUUUUGGAAAUUAUCAAUGGUCAAGAGAACCGUAAUUUCCGAAAUGUAGAAGAAGGGGAACAGUUUCUAACCUAUGCAUGGGAGAACUAGAAUAAAGGGACUGCUUCAAAUGUAAUAGAUCCUGUCCUAUUGGAAGAUUCUUCAAGAAGUGAAAUAUUGAGAUGCAUCCAUAUAGCAUUACUAUGCUUACAAGAAGACGCAGCCAAAAGACCAACCAGGGCUUCAGUGGUUCUCAUGCUCACUAGCCACUCUCUUGUUCUCACAAAACCGUCAAAACCUGCAUAUCUUAUGCGCAGUUCCAUGGAGCGAAAAACAUCACUGUCACCAGAAUCGACUCCGGCAAGACUGUCCCAAGGCAGGCCUAUCCAAUGCUCAAUUAACGAUGCUUCGAUUACAGAGCUAGAACCUCGUUAAAAGUCAGCAACUUUUGUCUUUUUCUUUUUUUCCCUUAAAACAAGCUUGUUUAAAGUUCUUGAUAAGAUGAAUUACUUCUUCAAGUAUAUUUAGUUUUAAUACUGUGCCUAUAUGUUAAAGUUCAACUCUUUUGUCAUAGUUUUGUCUACGGCUUCUUUAUGCAAUUGUUUAUUCCUGGCUAA